GGGUUGUGAGGUUAAGCGACUAAGCGUACACGGUGGAUGCCCUGGCAGUCAGAGGCGAUGAAGGACGUGCUAAUCUGCGAUAAGCGUCGGUAAGGUGAUAUGAACCGUUAUAACCGGCGAUUUCCGAAUGGGGAAACCCAGUGUGUUUCGACACACUAUCAUUAACUGAAUCCAUAGGUUAAUGAGGCGAACCGGGGGAACUGAAACAUCUAAGUACCCCGAGGAAAAGAAAUCAACCGAGAUUCCCCCAGUAGCGGCGAGCGAACGGGGAGCAGCCCAGAGCCUGAAUCAGUGUGUGUGUUAGUGGAAGCGUCUGGAAAGGCGCGCGAUACAGGGUGACAGCCCCGUACACAAAAAUGCACAUACUGUGAGCUCGAUGAGUAGGGCGGGACACGUGGUAUCCUGUCUGAAUAUGGGGGGACCAUCCUCCAAGGCUAAAUACUCCUGACUGACCGAUAGUGAACCAGUACCGUGAGGGAAAGGCGAAAAGAACCCCGGCGAGGGGAGUGAAAAAGAACCUGAAACCGUGUACGUACAAGCAGUGGGAGCACGCUUCGGCGUGUGACUGCGUACCUUUUGUAUAAUGGGUCAGCGACUUAUAUUCUGUAGCAAGGUUAACCGAAUAGGGGAGCCGAAGGGAAACCGAGUCUUAACUGGGCGUUAAGUUGCAGGGUAUAGACCCGAAACCCGGUGAUCUAGCCAUGGGCAGGUUGAAGGUUGGGUAACACUAACUGGAGGACCGAACCGACUAAUGUUGAAAAAUUAGCGGAUGACUUGUGGCUGGGGGUGAAAGGCCAAUCAAACCGGGAGAUAGCUGGUUCUCCCCGAAAGCUAUUUAGGUAGCGCCUCGUGAAUUCAUC
rnacentral:rRNA from 1 species